AUGGAGCGGAUCCUGUGGACGUCGGCGGGCUCCGCGACGCCGCCAGCGGCGACGAUGCGGCGGAGGAUGGCGGAGACCAGCUCCCAUUCCUGGAGGAAGUACCGCCGCAGGACGACCUCCUUGGAGUCGUGCACGUCGUCGCAAACAGCGGCGGCAGUAGGAUCAGUCGAGGCAUCCCCAGCGCUAGUGGCUGCGGGCUGGUCGGGCGGGGCAGGCAUGGAGACAGUCUCUGUGGGAAUGGCGGCGGCUUCCUCCGUCGCCGGAGCUCAGGCGGCGGCGGAGUGGACAGGUGGUUGCGACUUGCGAGUGUGGCGGAGACUGCGCCGUCGUGUUUUGUGCGCGUCUCUGAUCGUGUGA
rnacentral:rRNA from 1 species